GUUGCGGUAAAAAGCUCGUAGUUGGAUUUCUGUCGAGGACGACCGGUCCAUACAAUGUAUGUGCAUCUGGUUCGGCUUCGGCAUCCUCUCGAAAGACGUUUCUGUGCUUGAUUGCAUGGAGCGGAGUUCGGGGCUUUUACUUUGAGGAAAUUAGAGUGUUCACGGCAGGCUUGCGCCAGAAUACAUUAGCAUGGAGUAAUACUAUAGGAUCUCGGUUCUAUUUUGUUGGUUUCUAGAAUUGAGAUAAUGAUUAAUAGGGACAAUUGGGGGCAUUCGUAUCAAGGCGUCAGAGGUGGAAUUCUUGGAUUGCCUUGCGACGAACUACUGCGAAAGCAUUUGCCAAGGAUGUUUUCAUUGAUCAAGAACGAAAGUAAGGGGAUCGAAGACGAUUAGAUACCGUCUUAUUCUUUACCACAAACUAUGCCGACUAGAGAUGGGACAUCGUUCUUUUACGACUUGUUCCGCACCUUAUGAGAUAUCAAAGUUUUUGGGUUCCGGGGGGAGUAUGAUCGCAAGAUUGGAACUUAAAGGAAUUGACGGAAGGGCACCACCAGGAGUGGAACCUGCGGCUUAAUUUGACUCAACACGGGGAAACUCACCAGGUCCAGACAUAAUAAGGAUUGACAGAUUGAUAGCUCUUUCUUGAUUUUAUGGGUGGUGGUGCAUGGCCGUUCUUAGUUCGUGGAGUGAUUUGUCUGCUUAAUUGCGUUAACGAACGAGACCUUAACCUGUUAAAUAGCAGCGUCUAUUUCCGGAUAAGCGCCUUGCUUCUUAGAGGGACUGUAUGUGUUUCAACAUGCGGAAGUUUGAGGCUAAAACAGGUCUGUGAUGCCCUUCGAUGUUCUGGGCUGCACGCGCGUUACACUGAUGCGUUCAACGAGUGUACAACCUUGCCCGAUAGGGUUGGGUAACCUUAU
rnacentral:rRNA from 1 species